CACGGCUCCAGAGGUCCCCAGCCGGACCCCAUCCCCGCACCCAGGCCAACCUAGAAGUCCCGUUCCUCCCCAGAGAUGCGUGUCAAUCUGUCACUCAGACAUAACUCAGAUAUGAGUGCAGGGGACACGACAACAGAUACACCAGAAGAGGGCAUCGGAUCCCAUUACAGAUGGCUGCGAGCCACCAUGUGGUUGCUCGGAAUUGAACUCAGGACCUCUGGAAGAGCAGUCAGUGCCCUUAACCACUGAGCCAUCUCUCCAGCCUCGUGCUCCUGCACUUCAUGUUUGGUGUUCAUCACCUCAGCUUCCAUGGAAUCCAGCCGGUUCUCCAAGUUGAGACUCUCCUCCUGGCAUAUGGAGAGAGGGAAGGCUGUGACUGCUGUCCCUGGUCAGGUCCAUCUUCUUCCCCUCCCUCUCUCUCCAGUGUUCCUACCUGAAGGUACGGCUUCUCUGACCUCCAUUCCUGAAUGAUUGCCUGCACCACUUUGGAGUCUCCCUGCCAAGGAGAGGAGCCCAGUCACUUCCUCAGGUCACUCAUUUGCCGCCCCAAACCCUGCCACUCACCUGUGCACCCUCACCUGCAGCAGGUCUUUUAGCUGCAUGUGGAGAGACUUGGUCUCCUCCUGGAGGUGGUUGAUGGUGUCUUGGUUCUUCUUCAUGUUCCAUUGUGAGCUCUCAUAAAAGGCCUUACGAUCACCCUCUGGGGCAGACAGAGGUCACUGUCACUAGGUAGGUGGGUAGCACUUCCCAGAGAGAAGACCCAUUUGGUAGUGGUGGUGGUUUCUUGUUUGUUUAUUUUAGUUUUGUCUUUAGAUAGGGUUUCAUGUAGCCUGGGCUGGCCACAAAGAGCCAUUGGCUCAUUUGAGCUUGUGCUUCUCAUCCCUCUGACCCCCAAGAACUGGGAUUGCAGAUGUGCAUCUGUCAUAUCACAUCCAGUAUGAAGAGCUGGGAUUGAAAUGUGCCACACAAGCACCCUACUA